UUUUUCCAUCACUAUGAGCUCGAGUGGCUGUGGUUGAAAGGAAAAGUGGCUGUUAGCCAUUCAAAAGGUCGCUGGUUGAAACCCAGCUUCCCUGCUAUUUAAAGAGCAAGUAACGUCUAAAUUAACUUUUUUUGCUGAUGAACUGUAUAAAUGAGUGUCUAAUAGUGUUUUAAAUGUGUGCAUUCUUUAUUUUAGCAUUUUGGUACAUUUUCUUUAAAAAUUUAAAAUUCUGUCUAAAAACCACAGUAAUGCGCCACCUUCAGCUGAAAACAUAGAAUUUGAGUCAUUUUGAAUAAAUUUUAGCCAAUGGCUAAAGAGUAAAAUACUACGUAAACCAGUAGAGUACUACGUAGCAGCUCUGUGUGAACGUUAUAAAAGCAACGAGCGUCUCGGCCACGCCUUGUGGCGAGUGGGAGUUGGAUUUGCAAGAGAGCGUAGGAGGUCAGCGGUAGUUCAACAUUAGCAUAUAGCAUUAGCAUAUCCUAGUCUUUAGCAUAUCUUUAAGUGUUAUAAAUACUUAUUUAGUGUUAGCUUGGCUGUUGGAUAUUGUAGUUUAGUUAGUGUUUGGUUGUUAGUGUAAUUGGGAAAGUAGUUCGGGUUUAGUGUUCCAUAUCGUCUAAGUAUUGGUGAGUAGGUGUAGUGUAGUAUGGUUGCGGUGACUCUGUGGGCAUUUUACCCGCGAUUCUGCACGCCUCCGUUUGAAGAGGGAGGCUGCCCACCGUGGUUCUUCCGCGAUUUAGAUGCAGCCCACCGACUCUGCUCCCCCACCACGGCGAGCUCCAGUCUGAGGUGAGUAAGCUAAAUAGACGUUUUAACAUCUUCUAAAGACAAUUCCCUACCUAAAUGCAAAGUCUGAGAGACGUGGUUCACUUCCUUUAGCUAGUCAGUCGGCAAUUCUGCAACAGUGGCUCUAACUGACGCAGCACUAGUUGACAGACAGCAUUACAGCGUGAAAUCCAGCUUGUGACCCGGUUCUGUAAGGAAUUCUGUUCAGGAGGUCACAUUUCAGGCUCUCCACAUCAUGUGUGACUGACUUUUACGUUAUAACAACGAUCACACACUAGGAAUGUUAUAAAGCGCCUAUAUAGGAGAUUCUUUUGUAUAUUAUCUGACUUUAUAAACUCCCAACAACAAUGUGCUUAUAUUUUUUUUUCAGGCUAAAUCUACCCAAGACAUAGGCUGUCAGACUGAUUUAGCUGCAAGAAUGCACUUGUCCAGGCUGACGUGAAACCUUCCCUGUAGCAAAGCCAGCCAGAAUGGAGUUCACAGCCGCAGUGUGUCUGGUGACCCACGGGGACCAUGAUCAAAAUUCAUCUUCCAGAAGGUCCCAGAGCAGCGGCCACACCCCCUGAAAAGACCAAGGUGUGAGGUGUCUGCUGUUGAUUCCAGCUUCCACCUCAGUGACAGUGCAAGCUCAGUGAACUGUUCAAGGACACUCAGCAAAAUAUAGACUCUACACCAUGAGGCAGGCACACGUUAAUAUUCUAUAAGAGCACAUAAGCAUGAGGAUGUCCUCACACACCUGUAACCUAUCAGCUCAUCUGGCAGAAUAGAGAGAGAAGAGACAACACCACAUCUCCUGUUCCUGGAAAGCCUUCAGCCGUCCUUCGAUGACUGAGAACCUCCAUCAGCUCUGUCUCCUGUCUGCCUACAAUUAUUAUAAUAAAUAUUGUGUUUGACAAGUUUUUUGUGCUGCCAAAUAUCUCAUUUAGAUUCCAGUUUUGAUAUUUUAAUGGAUAUUUAUAAAUUACAUUAAU